rnacentral:sRNA from 1 species
GUGAACUCCAUGAGCAUGAAAGGUUCUCCACAGACAGAUGAGGUACAGACAGCAAUGUAAGCUCUCUCACUACACUACCAUGUCCCCUCCCUGACCUAAAGUAUCACCCUGUAGAUGGCAAAAGAAUAGUUCAGCCUCCAUGGCCCAUUCAAUUCUUGGUCUCU